rnacentral:rRNA from 1 species
GACAGAGGGUGCAAACGUUGUUCGGAAUUACUGGGCGUAAAGCGCGUGUAGGCGGCUUGGCAAGUCGGGUGUGAAAGCCCCGGGCUCAACCUGGGAAGUGCACUCGAAACUGCUUGGCUUGAGUACUGGAGAGGGAAGCGGAAUUCCCGGUGUAGAGGUGAAAUUCGUAGAUAUCGGGAGGAACACCAGUGGCGAAGGCGGCGACCUGGGCCAAUAUUGACGCUGAGGUGCGAAAGCGUGGGGAGCAAACAGG